rnacentral:rRNA from 1 species
UACAGAGGUCUCAAGCGUUGUUCGGAUUCAUUGGGCGUAAAGGGUGCGUAGGUGGCGGGGUAAGUCAGGUGUGAAAUCUCGGGGCUUAACUCCGAAACUGCAUUUGAUACUGCGGUGCUUGAGGACUGGAGAGGAGACUGGAAUUUACGGUGUAGCAGUGAAAUGCGUAGAGAUCGUAAGGAAGACCAGUGGCGAAGGCGGGUCUCUGGACAGUUCCUGACACUGAGGCACGAAGGCCAGGGGAGCAAACGGG